rnacentral:rRNA from 1 species
GACGAACGCUGGCGGCGUGCCUAAUACAUGCAGUUGAGCGCUGAAGGUUGGUACUUGUACCAACUGGAUGAGCAGCGAACGGGUGAGUAACGCGUGGGGAAUCUGCCUUUGAGCGGGGGACAACAUUUGGAAACGAAUGCUAAUACCGCAUAAAAACUUUAAACACAAGUUUUAAGUUUGAAAGAUGCAAUUGCAUCACUCAAAGAUGAUCCCGCGUUGUAUUAGCUAGUUGGUGAGGUAAAGGCUCACCAAGGCGAUGAUACAUAGCCGACCUGAGAGGGUGAUCGGCCACAUUGGGACUGAGACACGGCCCAAACUCCUACGGGAGGCAGCAGUAGGGAAUCUUCGGCGAUGGACGAAAGUCUGACCGAGCAACGCCGCGUGAGUGAAGAAGGUUUUCGGAUCGUAAAACUCUGUUGGUAGAGGAGAACGUUGGUGAGAGUGGAAAGCUCAUCAAGUGACGGUAACUACCCAGAAAGGGACGGCUAACUACGUG